rnacentral:ncRNA from 1 species
AGAACUGAUAUUCCGACAGGUGGAAUGGAGGGGUAACGCCCGGAAACGCCUGCUCUGAUACUCCGGUAUGCGUCUGGAAGUGCAGCCUUCCAGUGGUAUAACGCCCGGUAAAGUCGGCUGUAUGCACCCGCUGUAGCGAUUACGCACGUUACGGCAAACCAAGCCAGAGGUGGCUGUGGGUGAUAGGCCGGGAGUCUAUAAA